ensembl:lncRNA
UACAGAUAGUGGUACAGAUAGUGGUACUGGUAAUGGUACACGUGGGGCCUACUGCUUAUAUGGAAGCGAUCACAGAAAAAUAAAUAGAAUAAUAUUAAAACCGUAUAGUAUUUAUACCGUGUUCGAUAUAAUUAAUAUAUUAUGUUUUUAUAAAAAAAUAAGUUAUAAAUUAAGUGUAACAGAUUAUAUACAUACAAUGGUUGAAAAAAAAAGACAAAAAAAAAAUAAUAAUGGUGAUGGUAUUAACAAUGGUGGCAAUUACACUACAAAUAGUUUCAGUAGUAACAAAUAUAACAAAAAGGUAGAACAAUAUGACGAGGUAGCACUUAGUAGUGGCAGUAGUAGUGGUAGUGGUAGUAGUAGUGGUAGUAGUAGUAGUGGUAGUAGAAACGAUGAAAAGAACAACAAACAACUAUUUUUAAAUAAAAAAAAAAAAAAAAAUUAUAAUUUUAAUGAUAAUAAUAUAAAUAACGUAUUAAUAACAGAAAACAAUAUUCAUUUAAAUAUUAGUAACUUCAAUAUGUACAUAAAUAAUAACGAUUUAUUACUUCUGAAUUUUUUAAUAAAUGAUUUUUUUUUUAUUAUGGAAAAUUUAAAAGUUAACAAAGUAUAUAAUUGCAAGUAUAAGUAUAACGACGUUUUAAUUGUUUCGAAAUUUAGGAAAGUAGUGAUAAGUAAUAGUGGUGGUGGUGGUGGCGAUAGUGGCGAAUCUGAUAUAAACAACUCAAACGAAUACAAAUCCAACAACACCAAUUCUAUCAAUAAAAAACAACUAUUAUGUGUAAAAAAUAAAAUUAAAAUUUCAAUCGAUAUAUUUAAAUUAUGUUUUUUAUCUAAAUAUUAUUUACACGAAAUAUGUACAUUUAACAGUUAUAAUAGUAACGUUAAUAUAGUUUAUUCAUUGGAUAAUAUAAAGAAGAAAAGUGUUAUAAAACAAAAUGGUAGAAUUCUGAACGAUAUACAUACAUUAAUCCAAAAUAAGCAACCUAAGUUGUUACUUCAAUUUAAUAUGAAACAAAUAAAUUUAUCACCAGUUAAUAUAAAAAAUUUAACGAAUUUUGUUUAUGACAAUUCAGAUAAAAUAUCUUUUAUCGAUUCUUUUGAUAUACUUUGUACAUUUUUAUUAAAUAAAAAGAAAAGAAAUUUAGUAAUUUAUGUUAAAGACGAUAUAAACAUUCACUUGGAUAAAAAAAUAAUGAACUUUUUUUUUUUAUUUAAAUAUAAUUUUUUUCACAAUUAUUUUAUUUAUAACGAGUAUAAUAUUUGUAAGCAGGUGGUUUCUAAGCAGGUGGUUUCUAAGCAGGUG